AACACAUGCAACUCGAACGGUAACAGGAAGAAGCUUGCUUCUUUGCUGACGAGUGGCGGACGGGUGAGUAAUGUCUGGGAAACUGCCUGAUGGAGGGGGAUAACUACUGGAAACGGUAGCUAAUACCGCAUAACGUCGCAAGACCAAAAAGGGGGACCUUCGGGCCUCUUGCCAUCGGAUGUGCCCAGAUGGGAUUAGCUAGUAUGUGGGGUAACGGCUCACCUAGGCGACGAUCCCUAGCUGGUCUGAUAGGAUGACCAGCCACACUGGAACUGAGACACGGUCCAGACUCCUACG
rnacentral:rRNA from 1 species